UACGUAGGUGGCACGCGUUGUCCGGAUUUACUGGGCUUAAAGAGCGCGCAGGCGGCUCGGUAAGUCUGCUGUGAAAUCUCCCGGCUUAACUGGGAGGGGUCAGCGGAUACUGUCGGGCUUGAGGCAGGUAGAGGAAGGUGGAAUUCCCGGUGUAGUGGUGAAAUGCGUAGAUAUCGGGAGGAACACCAGUGGCGAAGGCGGCCUUCUGGGCCUGUCCUGACGCUGAGGCGCGAAAGCCAGGGGAGCGAACGGG
rnacentral:rRNA from 1 species